UACGUAGGGUGCAGGCGUUAAUCGGAAUUACUGGGCGUAAAGCGUGCGCAGGCGGUCUUUUAAGUCAGAUGUGAAAUCCCCAGGCUCAACCUGGGAACUGCGUCUGAUACUGGAUGGCUUGAAUCCGGGAGAGGGAUGCAGAAUUCCAGGUGUAGCGGUGAAAUGCGUAGAUAUCUGGAGGAAUACCGGUGGCGAAGGCGGCAUCCUGGACCGGCAUUGACGCUGAGGAGCGAAAGCCAGGGGAGCAAACGGG
rnacentral:rRNA from 1 species